AGAGUUUGAUUCUGGCUCAGGAUGAACGCUGGCGGCGUGCCUAAUACAUGCAAGUCGAACGAGGUGUAGCAAUACACCGAGUGGCGAACGGGUGAGUAACACGUAGGUAACCUGCCCCUAAGUCUGGGAUACCCAGGGGAAACCUUGGCUAAUACCGGAUAGCGGCGGAGGGGACAUCCCCUCCGCACGAAAGUCGCGUUUGCGACGCUUUCGGAUGGACCUGCGGCACAUUAGCUAGUUGGCGGGGCAACGGCCCACCAAGGCGAGGAUGUGUAGCCGACCUGAGAGGGUGAACGGCCACAAUGGAACUGAGACACGGUCCAUACUCCUACGGGAGGCAGCAGUAGGGAGUUUUCGGCAAUGGGCGAAAGCCUGACCGAGCAACGCCGCGUGAGUGAGAAGGUCUUCGGAUUGUAAAGCUCUGUUACGAGGGACGAACGGUGGGGUCAGGAAAUGGGCCCCAAUUGACGGUACCUCGCCAGAAAGUGACGGCUAACUACGUGCCAGCCGCCGC
rnacentral:rRNA from 1 species